rnacentral:rRNA from 1 species
UAAGGAAUAUUGCUCAAUGGCCGAAAGGCUGAAGCAGCAACGCCGCGUGAAGGAUGAAGGGAUUUUUCUUGUAAACUUCUGUAAGAGGGGAAAAAUAGUUUUGAUUUAUCAAAACUUGAUUGUACCUUCAGAGUAAGCCCCGGCUAACUACGUGCCAGCAGCCGCGGUAAUACGUAGGGGGCAAGCGUUGUCCGGAUUUACUGGGUGUAAUGGGUGCUCAGGCGGAAUUGUAAGUCAGAGGUGAAACUCCGAAGCUUAACUUCGGAACUGCCUUUGAUACUGCAAUCCUAGAUUGUGAGAGAGGCGAGUGGAAUAGCUGGUGGAGCAGUGAAAUGCGUAGAUAUCAGAUACAACACCAAUGGCGAAGGCAGCUCGCUGGCUCAUUACUGACGCUAAAGCACGAAAGUGUGGGUAGCAAACA